rnacentral:rRNA from 1 species
CGUAGGGUGCAAGCGUUAAUCGGAAUUACUGGGCGUAAAGCGUGCGCUAGGCGGUUUUGUAAGACAGGCGUGAAAUCCCCGGGCUCAACCUGGGAAUUGCGCUUGUGACUGCAAAGCUGGAGUGCGGCAGAGGGGGAUGGAAUUCCGCGUGUAGCAGUGAAAUGCGUAGAUAUGCGGAGGAACACCGAUGGCGAAGGCAAUCCCCUGGGCCUGCACUGACGCUCAUGCACGAAAGCGUGGGGAGCAAACAGGAUUAGAUACCCUGGUAGUCCACGCCCUAAACGAUGUCAACUGGUUGUUGGGUCUCUUCUGACUCAGUAACGAAGCUAACGCGUGAAGUUGACCGCCUGGGGAGUACGGCCGCAAGGUUG